GGUGAUGUAACUCAGUCGGUUAGAGUACCUCACUCAUAAUGAGGGUGUCGCGUGUUCGAGUCACGCCAUCACCA
rnacentral:tRNA from 1 species